CCUACGGGUGGCUGCAGUAAGGAAUAUUGGUCAAUGGGCGCGAGCCUGAACCAGCCAAGUCGCGUGAGGGAAGACGGUCCUAUGGAUUGUAAACCUCUUUUGUCGGGGAGCAAAAGACGCCACGCGUGGCGUUCCGAGAGUACCCGAAGAAAAAGCAUCGGCUAACUCCGUGCCAGCAGCCGCGGUAAUACGGAGGAUGCGAGCGUUAUCCGGAUUUAUUGGGUUUAAAGGGUGCGCAGGCAGAAGAGCAAGUCAGCGGUAAAAUUGAGAGGCUCAACCUCUUCGAGCCGUUGAAACUGGUGUUCUUGAGUGAGCGAGAAGUAUGCGGAAUGCGUGGUGUAGCGGUGAAAUGCAUAGAUAUCACGCAGAACUCCGAUUGCGAAGGCAGCAUACCGGCGCUCAACUGACGCUCAUGCACGAAAGUGUGGGUAUCGAACAGGAUUAGAUACCCCAGUAGUC
rnacentral:rRNA from 1 species